GAUGCAAGUGUCAGAACUUUUCGAGUUGUUUGGUUCACUUGUUGCAUAUCUUCAGAGAAUUAUUUUGUUUUGGUUUGCGUCCCUGAUAUUUUCCUUUAGGAAACAUUUCAGAAACGCUUGAAUAUAUGCAAUUUUCAACACAUGUUCGUUUGUUUUGAUCAGUAUUUGUUUUACGGUGCUGCCAGAAUAGUCUAUACAAGCACAUAUUUCAGUGGCUGAAAACGAGUGGACAGACAAAUCACCACCUGUUUGAACGACUCGUUGAACCAAUGGAAGCGAAUGUAAACAUUGCUCGAGGUAUUUGUGGAGGAAGUUCAAAUAAAAUCCAGGUUAAGGUAACGUUGGAGGAAUUUAGUGAGGAGCUUAAUGCGCUGAGACCAUCAAUGCGUCUUGGUUCAGAAUGCCAGAAAAUUUGGAUUGACAUGAGGUGAAAAGUAAAUAAACACUAGCACACAACAAGCGAGAAUUCAGGGCCAAAGGUGGUGGCCCAAUACAAUAAUGCUAUUGACGCCGCUACUACAAGAAAUCGACA